rnacentral:rRNA from 1 species
CCGCACAAGCGGUGGAGCAUGUGGUUAAUUCGACGCAACGCGAAGAACCUUACCAGGGCUUGACAUCCCCUGACCGCGUAUGAAAGUACGUUUUCACCCUCGGGUGACAGGGAGACAGGUGGUGCAUGGUUGUCGUCAGCUCGUGUCGUGAGAUGUUGGGUUAAGUCCCGCAACGAGCGCAACCCCUACGUUUAGUUGCUAACAGGUGAAGCUGAGCACUCUAGACGAACUGCCGUUGACAAAACGGAGGAAGGUGGGGAUGACGUCAAAUCAUCAUGCCCCUUAUGUUCUGGGCUACACACGUGCUACAAUGGCCGGUACAGACGGAGGCGAAGCCGCGAGGCGGAGCAAAUCCGAAAAAGCCGGUCUCAGUUCGGAUUGCAGGCUGCAAUUCGCCUGCAUGAAGUCGGAAUCGCUAGUAAUCGCGGAUCAGCAUGCCCGCGGUCGAAUACGUUCCCGGGCCUU